rnacentral:rRNA from 1 species
AAUAUUGGACAAUGGGGGCAACCCGGAUCCAGCUAUGCGGCGCGGGUGAAGAAUGUCUUCGGUUUGUUAUGCACUUUUAGUUGGGGGGAAGGGCUUUAGGCAAAUACCCCUAAGUAUAGACGGUACCAACAGAAUAAGUACCGGCUAACGUUGUCCCUGCAGCCGCGGUAAUACAGAGGGUGCAAGCGUUACUCGGAAUUACUGUGAGUAAAGCGCGCGUAGGUGGUUAAGUAAGAUGGGUGUGAAAUCCCGGGCUUAACCUGGGAACUGCUUUCAUAACUGCUGAGCUAGAGUACGGUAGAGGGUAGUGGAAUUUCCUGUGUAGCGGUGAAAUGCGUAGAUAUAGGAAGGAACACCAGUGGCGAAGGCGACUACCUGGACUGAUACUGACACUGAGGUGCGAAAGCGUGGGGAGCAAAC